rnacentral:rRNA from 1 species
ACUCCUACGGGAGGCAGCAGUGGGGAAUAUUGGACAAUGGGGAGGACCCUGAUCCAGCCAUGCCGCGUGUGUGAAGAAGGCCUUAAUGGUUGUAAAGCACUUUAAGCGAGGAGGAGGCUACUGAGACUAAUACUCUUGGAUAGUGGACGUUACUCGCAGAAUAAGCACCGGCUAACUCUGUGCCAGCAGCCGCGGUAAUACAGAGGGUGCGAGCGUUAAUCGGAUUUACUGGGCGUAAAGCGUGCGUAGGCGGCUUUUUAAGUCGGAUGUGAAAUCCCCGNGCUUAACUUGGGAAUUGGCAUUCGAUACUGGGAAGCUAGAGUAUGGGAGAGGAUGGUAGAAUUCCAGGUGUAGCGGUGAAAUGCGUAGAGAUCUGGAGGAAUACCGAUGGCGAAGGCAGCCAUCUGGCCUAAUACUGACGCUGAGGUACGAAA